AGUUUUGAUGGAUGACUCCCCUAGAUCUCGCACAAUGCCGAUCCUUCUACCACUAAGUGAGAACAGCUGGUACCCAGAACCUGAUUCUCAAUGCCCAGAGCUAGACCUGGGCCUGGCACGCCAGUAAGGAUGAAGAGAUAGGCGGGGGUAAAGAAAAGCAAUGCAAAUGUGCCCCUCAACAGAUUAUAUUUAAUGCGCUAUUUUUAGUUGCCUUCAAUCCCUCGGGGCUGUCAGGGCGGUUGCAGCCCCACUCCCCCGGGAAAGGAAAUGACAGGCAUUAUUACCCGGCCCAGGAACGCUGGUGCAGUGCGUGGUGGGUGGGGGAGGUGCUGCCUUGCCAGCUCCGAAUUUUGGGAACUUAACUUCCAACGGGAAAUCGAGGACACAGAGAGAGGCAGCCAUGGGACCACCUCCUCUGUUUGCAGCCAGCCAGCCAGAUCAGACCUGCGUACUGGUCCACUGGGCUCAGACCAGGAGUGUGGGAGUCUCUUCAGUCCUCAAGUUGUCUCAAAAAGCAUUGACAGUCUCCACGGGGAAGAAAAGAAAGCACAAUGAGGAAGCAGUCUUACGACGGAACUGUCGGGAGACACUGAGAAGCAAAGAUAUGGACACAGCUCCACCUUGCGGUGAAUCAACGCAUAUGCUAAGAUAAAUUGGAUUUCUAUACCUUCUCCCCACAAGGAUUUUGAUGGACACAACAUGAAUGAAUUCAGCAUAAAACAGAUGGAAUAUAAUAAAUGCUCAUAGUAAAUAUUUGGCACAGGAA
rnacentral:sRNA from 1 species